CCGCCGAAGAUUCAAGAAAAUACUGCUACACACUCAACGUCACAAGCCGUAACCGUUACCUCAUCAGAGCCACUUUCCUCUACGGCAACUUCGACAACAACAACGUGUACCCCAAGUUCGACAUCUCCCUUGGCGCCACUCACUGGACCACCAUCGUCAUCUCAGACGCCAACCUCAUCGAAAAGGCAGAGCUUGUGUUCCUCGCUUUAUCUCCUAGCGUUAGCGUUUGUCUGUCAAACGCCACUACAGGACAGCCGUUUAUCUCAACACUCGAGCUUAGGCAAUUGAACGGCUCAAUGUACUUAACCGAGUACGAAGACAGGUUCCAUCUAAGCGUGGCUGCAAGGAUAAACUUCGGUGCAGAGACUGAAGAGCCUGUACGGUAUCCAGACGAUCCCUACGAUAGAAUAUGGGAGUCUGAUCUUGUCAAAAGAGCUAACUACCUUGUCGACGUGGCUGCUGGGACCAAGCGUGUGUCCACCUCAUUGCCUAUUGAAGCAGGUGGCAAUGAUAGACCGCCUGAGAAGGUUAUGCAGACGGCUGUGGUGGGGACCAACGGGUCUUUGACUUACAGGAUGAACCUCGAGGGGUUCCCUGGCUACGGCUGGGCGUUCACUUACUUCGCUGAGAUUGAGGAUUUGGCUGAUGACGAGUCUAGGAAGUUCAGGUUGGUUCUGCCUGACCAGCCUGACUACAGCAAAGCGAUUGUUAACAUAAGGGAGAACACUCAGAGAGCGUUCAAGGUUUAUGAGCCUGGGUACUAUAACAUAACCCUUCCUUAUGUGCUCAACUUUCGGUUCGCGAAGACGGCUGAUUCAUCUAGAGGGCCUAUUCUGAAUGCUAUGGAGAUUUGUAAGUAUCUGGAGAAGAGUGAUGGUUCAGUAGAUGGUGAGUUUUGCAUUUUUUUUUUGUUGGGGGUUUACUCUUUAGUGUUAAGUGUUGUGGUGUUUUGAAUUUUGAUGAGUCUUUUGACUUGUAUUGCAGCGACUGUUAUGGCUAAUGUGGCGGCUCUAUAUUCUUCAACCGAAUGGGGUCAAGAAGGUGGUGAUCCAUGUUUACCUUCACCGUGGUCGUGGGUGAUAUGUAACUCGGAUCCACAACCAAGAGUUGUUGCAGUGUAAGGAUGCCUAUCCCUGUAGGCUGUAGCAUUUGCACUCAGUAGAAUUUGCACAUAUGUUUCAACCAAUGCUCAAAAAAUCAUUAGGCAGGCAGUAACAAAUUAUCAUUUGUUAUAUAUAUAUAUAUUUUACAUUUAUAUAAAAUAUUUUGGUUUUCGAGUUUAGUUACAAAAUUAUUUUGAUGAAUUAUCAAAAUAAAAUACAUGUACUUACAUUAUUUACUUUACUUACUUUAACAAAUUUCUACUAAUUUAGAUGGAUUUAAACUGAUUCAAACCCCUUUAGAACAGUUUAAACCGAUUUAGAAAGGUUUAAAAACGAUUUGAGUCGUUAUUUUAAGAAAAUCGUUUCGGCUAGGAGGGAUUUGCCUUCUGGGUGCUGCUUAGAUGAUUUUUAGAACCAUGGUUUUGACUAUGUUAUGGUUCACUUAUUUUCCUUUGCAUGUUGUUUAACUGCAGAAAGCUCUCGAAUAAGAACAUGACAGGAGAUAUACCAUCUGACUUGACAAAGUUAACUGGUUUAGUUGAGUUGUAAGUGUACUUAUCUCUUGGGACUCUUGUUGUAUCUUUGGGUUUGUUAUUGAUGUUUCAACUUUUGUCGAUGGCAGAUGGCUUGAUGGGAACUCUCUAACGGGUCAAAUACCAGAUUUCUCUAGGUGCACAAACCUGAAGAUAAUGUAAUAAAAAAAGAAAACAAAACACUCUCUUCCGAAUUUUGUAUUGUCUAUUGGUUUUAAUAUGAAUUGUUUUUAUGUGGCAGACACCUCGAGAACAACCGACUAAUCGGAAAGAUCCCUUCAGCGUUGGCUAAACUCCCAAAUCUGACAGAAGUGUAAGCUACUUAGACUUCUUGAUAUGGUGGAAAACACAUUUUUAUGCACCUAACCUGCAUUGAGUAUUGCAGGUACCUGCAGAACAAUAUGUUAAGUGGGACAAUACCAUCACGCCUCAAAAACGUGUACUCGAAGUAAGUAUCUCGUCCCUUUCAAGUACAGAGUUAAGCUGCUUUCAACACAAAGAGUAGCUUAUAUGUUCCUCUAUCUUUGUGUGUUUGCAGCUUAACUGGUAACCUUAACCUUAAAGAACGUGGAGAUAAAGGGAAGAAGCUAGGUGUCAUCAUUGGUGCAUCAUUUGGUGCUUGUGUUCUUCUUAUCGCCACAAUCUUUUCUUGCAUCUGGUUGUGCAAAGCUAAGAAGAACAACAAGAGUAAAACUUCAGCGGAGUUAACGAACCGUCCCUUGCAUGUUCAAAGAGCGUCAUCAACCCUGAGUGAUGCACACGGAGACGCUGCACAGUGCUUCACACUAUAUGAGAUAGAGGAAGCCACAAAGAAGUUUGAAAAGAGGAUUGGUUCGGGAGGUUUUGGGAUUGUCUACUACGGGAAAACACGAGAGGGGAAGGAGAUUGCGGUUAAAGUUCUUGGGAAUAACUCUUUCCAGGGAAAGAAAGAGUUCGCAAACGAGGUAUACACAUGCCUUAACCACAAGUAUCACGGUUUUGUUUUUGCUUAGGAUGUAACAAGAGUUUUGUUCAGGUUACAUUACUGUCAAGGAUACAUCAUAGAAACCUAGUGCAGUUUCUUGGUUAUUGUGAAGAAGAGGGAAGAAACAUGCUUGUGUAUGAGUUCAUGCACAACGGAACUUUGAAGGAGCAUCUGUACAGUGUGGUACCACGAGAGAGGAGAAUCAGUUGGAUUAAACGGCUCGAGAUAGCUGAAGAUGCAGCCAGAGGGAUUGAGUAUCUACACACAGGGUGUGUACCAGCGAUCAUACACAGAGAUCUCAAGACAAGUAACAUCUUACUUGAUAAACACACGAGGGCAAAGGUUUCAGACUUCGGUUUGUCCAAGUUCGCAGUUGAUGGAGCCUCACAUGUCUCCAGCAUUGUCCGUGGCACAGUUGGUUACCUAGACCCUGAGUAAGCUAUAGACUUAUAACUUAACGCCAAUAAACUAAUAAUUUGGAAAAAAUAAUAACAUAAUGUUGUUUUAAGGUACUAUAUAUCGCAACAGUUAACGGAGAAGAGUGACGUAUACAGCUUCGGAGUCAUUCUUCUUGAGCUUAUAUCAGGCCAAGAAGCCAUAUCUAAUGAAAACUUCGGUGUCAACUGCAGGAACAUAGUCCAAUGGGUUAGUUUUCAUCUUCUAGUUUUUUUGCAUUCAGAUUUUUGGUUUUUGUUUUGUUGAGUUCUAAUAUAUAAAGGAUUUGGACUUAUCCACUUAGGCAUGGGUAUUUCGGGUAUUGGUUUGGUUCGAUUUAGUUUGGUUUUCAGUUUUUUUCGGUUCAAGAAAUAUAGGAUCCGUGUGACAUAAAUUAAAUUUAAAAUAAAUUGUUAUAUUAAUUAUUUUUAAUACUUUAUAAUUAAUUGACAUAAUAUAUUUGAAUAUAUGAUUUAUCUUUAAUAAAGACCUCAAUGCAUAAAGAUAAUUUACAAUAUUAAUUUUAAUAUUUUAAUUUUUCUAUUCUCUCUAUUAAAUACUAUUAAAAUUUGGAUUUUAUAUAAAUUUAAAACUUUUUUUUUGUAACACAAAUUAAAAACUAUAAUUUUAUAUUUAUAUUGAUAUAAGACAUUGUGUUUUUUUAAGAACGGAAGCGUGAUUUCAAAACGGAAUCGUAAGCUUCCAACGUGUUUUUAAAGAGAAUAUUUUAGAAGCGUUUUGGAAGCGAGAUUCCGUAAGCUUCCACAAGGUUCUGAUUCCGGUUCCAAAGCGGGAAACAGACAUCCGAUGAAGCUUCAGUGCAACAUAGCUUACGUGAUACUAAAAUGAUUGUUAAUAUUUAUGCAUUUAUCUCACAAAUUUAUUUUCUAUGCUAUUAUUUAAUUAUGCACUGUCUCAUAGUGUCAAUUUCGUAAGUGUAAUUAUAUUCAUAUUUAAUAAAAUUCUAUAAACCAUUUAAUGGCGUUUCUCACGCUAUUUAGUAUCAUAUAUUAUAUAUCUAUUCUAUUAAAAAAUCAUCAUUUAAAACUAGCCCUUAAUUUGUCCUAAUAAAGUAAUAAUUACUUAUAACUUAUGCCACCAAAUUAACAAUUAUUAACUAAUUAAUCAUAAAUCAUUUAUUUUAUUAGAUUAUUCUCUAACCAAAUUUAUGAUUAUUUUCUAAUUGGAUUAUUAUCUAACCGGAUUAUUCUCUAAUCAAUUUUACAAUAAGAUUAAAUAGAUUUAUUUAAAAUGUGACAUACAAACUUUAAUUUUUAAUAAAUUCAUGUUUUUAUUAUUUAAUUUGACAUACAAAUUUAAUAUACAUAAACAUACUAAUUGAUGGUUUAAUUUAUAGAUAAAUAUAUAAUUUUAAUGUAGUUAAAAAAUAAUGGACGAAUAUGUUAUAUAAAUAUUAUUUUGAUUGGUUGAAUAUUCAAUUACAAUAUGAACAAAACCAAAUUACAGAAAAUUGAAAACCAUUGAUUUAUCACUAAUGUUAUAUAUUAAAAAUCGAACAAACAUCCAUACAUGUUUGUGCAAUCAUUACAUACUUUUACAUUAUAAAAAAAUUUCAUUUGUCAAUUAUCUUAAAACAAACACCCCGUCGCACGGGUCAAACUCUAGUAAUUACUUAAAAUAUCAUAUAGAGAUAACAUCAAAUAUUAUUUUAAGAAAUUUAAAUUUAUUCGAACAAAAUCUUACAUUUCUAUCUAACUGUUGGCAAAAUUAGUCAAGUAUCUUGACCAAAAUCAAAUAAAGAAUAAAGUCAAGUAUAUCUGAAUAAAAACUGAAUUUCGAGAUAAUCAAGAUAUCGAUCACAUUCAUUUUUAGCGUAUCAGAAUCACGUAGUUAUAGAAUUUUAUUAUUUUCCCUGGUUGAAUAAAACACACUAUUUUUUUCUAAAACAGAUAUCAUGAUUUAAAAACUGCAGAGAUUCAGAGAAUGUCGCUUAUUAAAAUCCGGAAAUAUAACGACACUGUUUAUGAUUGAUAAUCCUCUAACAACAUGGAAAGUUGACCACACAUUAACUGCGCAAGGAUCUGGACCAUUAGAUUAAAAUUAAAAGCCAUAUGAACCGUUAGAUGUAGCUUAAAACUUGAAGCUAGUAGAGAGUCAGGUCCAAGAUGGACCCCACAUUCCACCUUUAACCUCUAUCUCUUUCUCCUCCCACUGCUAUGCAAGCUCCUCCCCUUAAAAAAAAAGCAAAAACACUUCACAAAGAAGAAACAAAACUCAUCUCUUCACGCUUCCACACUCGUUUUCUCGUUUUCUCGUUUAUCAUUAGUUCCCUCUCUUAAGAAUUUUAAGACAAGUUAGAGAAGUAGUUUAACUUCAGGUUUUCUGUCUCUGAGACCACUUUUUUUUUUUCUUCCACUUUUUUGAAAUCACAUUCAUUUUUUUCUUUAUUUAUCGCCAUUUUUUAUGUAAAACUGUUGCAAAAGCGUGUUCUUCAGAGCAGGGAGAUGGUGAGAGACACACUGCUUCUGUUGUGUCUGCUAGUUUCCACUUGUCUCUUCACUUCUUCAUCUGCCCAAUCUCCAGGUAACUGUCUUUUUUUUUUUGAGCACUUUCUGAUGUGUUCUUACUUGUAAUGGAUGUAAACAUAACAAGGGUCUUAGAAAAAACUUUCCUUUGAAUCACAAAUCUCAAGAGCUUUGGUGUUUGUAUGUUUAGUUGAAUUCAAGUAGAGAAAAAGAUUGAGUCUUUGUUGGAUUUGAAGUCAAUUCUAUCAUAAAGUAUGAAACUUUAUUUGUUGUUAUUGUUGUUGAUAAGGGCAGGUUUUGUGAUUAUAAAGAUGGAGUCUUUAUGAGAUUUGAACUCAAUUCUAACAUAAAGAAUGAAACUUUACUUGUUCUUGUUGAUAAGGGCAGGUUUUGUGAGCUUGGACUGUGGAGGCGCAGAGCCAUUCACCGACGAACUCGGACUCAAAUGGUCACCAGACACUCACCUCCUCUUCGGCACAACCGCUACAAUCUCUUCCCUUAACCAAACCAAAACACAGUACACAACUCUAAGACACUUCCCCGCCGAAGAUUCAAGAAAAUACUGCUACACACUCAACGUCACAAGCCGUAACCGUUACCUCAUCAGAGCCACUUUCCUCUACGGCAACUUCGACAACAACAACGUGUACCCCAAGUUCGACAUCUCCCUUGGCGCCACUCACUGGACCACCAUACCGUCGUCAUCUCAGACGCCAACCUUAUCGAAAAGGCAGAGCUCGUGUUCCUCGCUUUAGCUCCUAGCGUUAGCGUUUGUCUGUCAAACGCCACUACAGGACAGCCGUUUAUCUCAACACUCGAGCUCAGACAGCUAAACGGCUCAAUGUACUUAACCGAGUACGAA
rnacentral:lncRNA from 1 species